UCGGGAAUAUUGCGCAAUGGAGGAAACUCUGACGCAGUGACGCCGCGUGCAGGAAGAAGGUUUUCGGAUUGUAAACUGCUUUAGACAGGGAAGAAAAAAGACAGUACCUGUAGAAUAAGCUCCGGCUAACUACGUGCCAGCAGCCGCGGUAAUACGUAGGGAGCGAGCGUUAUCCGGAUUUAUUGGGUGUAAAGGGUGCGUAGACGGGAAAUUAAGUUAGUUGUGAAAUCCCUCGGCUCAACCGAGGAACUGCAACUAAAACUGAUAUUCUUGAGUACUGGAGAGGAAAGUGGAAUUCCUAGUGUAGCGGUGAAAUGCGUAGAUAUUAGGAGGAACACCAGUGGCGAAGGCGACUUUCUGGACAGAAACUGACGUUGAGGCACGAAAGUGUGGGGAGCAAACAGGAUUAGAUACCC
rnacentral:rRNA from 1 species